rnacentral:lncRNA from 1 species
AAAUCUAUAUAUUCAGAAACAAAUAUAUAGAACAACAGCCUCUAGCCCUGGAAGGCCAUUGUACAAGACCUAUGUUAGCCAUAACUUUGAAGAACUCACUGAAAAUUGACAGUCAUAACACCUUGUUCAUUCUUUACCCUGAUAGUGAAAGUACUUUCUUGAGGGAAUCAAGAGGCCAGAUAAUAUAGCUUCUUGUUUUUUUAUUUACUUUUUUUUUAACCUAUAACUUAGUUUAUAAAAUUUGUUUCAUGAGUUUGAGUUUCUUUGCCUUCUUCAGAGUUCCAUCCACAUCAGUUAUAGACAUAUCCAUUGCUCCCUUGACCUCCAUGCAGUUGAUGAGCUGGAUUCCAAGAAUGGAAAUGAACUUUGAACUCACUUAGAUCAACCCUACACAUCUGAAUAUGUUUUACUGUCAUUGCUGAACACCCAUACCUUCCUUUAUUCCCCCAAGUAAACAGUCAUGGAAGGGGACAAUUUGGACAUAACAACAUUAUAGUGAAAGGCUGAAACAUUAAUAUUCUUAAGUAUCCACUAUCUUCUUUCUAUCAGUGGGUUUUACAUUUGAAUGUUAUUCUGCCAAUCACUUGGAGAGCUUGUUUAAAAACAGACUCCCAAACCAUCCUCCAGGCAUUCAGAUUUAAUAGAUCUUGACUGAAAUUUAAGAAUCUUCAUUUCUAAUGAGCACCCUAUUGAUGUUGAUUCAGUUUGAGAAUGCAUUAUACUUUCUCUCAAGUCUUAAGUCAGAGGGCAGGUUUUCAAAUUUCUUAAAUGAGUCUCAAUAUGGAACUUAGGCCUGGUGGUAAAAGGAGUCUGCUUUCUCACUAUGCCUGGGCUUACGGAAAACUGGACCAAUGUUUUGUAGCUGUGCUUUAUCCUCUGAGGUUUCUUACAUAAACAGCCCACAUAACUACGCACAGGAGCAUUGCACCAGGGGCUACCCAUGUGCUUCUGCGGAGCUGUUUUUAACUUCAAUCAUCUUUUCUCCACUGGUAUACAUUACAGUUUCCAAGAUGUUGUAUUUUCUUUCCUGAUUGACUGGAUAUUGACCCAAAGUCUUUACCUCUAAAUAUUCUCCUUUCUGUAGGAUUUCUGUCAAAAUGGAAAAUGAUAUAUGAGCUCCUUGAGGCUACAGACUAGGUCUAAUUAUG